rnacentral:rRNA from 1 species
GCNCUAACGCUCGUGCCGCGGUGCCUCGUACAUGCAAGUCGAGCGAACAUAUACGGAGCUUGCUCCUUUGACGUUAGCGGCGGACGGGUGAGUAACACGUGGGUAACCUACCUAUAAGACUGGAAUAACUCCGGGAAACCGGGGCUAAUGCCGGAUAACAUAUAGAACCGCAUGGUUCUAUAGUGAAAGAUGGUUUUGCUAUCACUUAUAGAUGGACCCGCGCCGUAUUAGCUAGUUGGUAAGGUAACGGCUUACCAAGGCGACGAUACGUAGCCGACCUGAGAGGGUGAUCGGCCACACUGGAACUGAGACACGGUCCAGACUCCUACGGGAGGCAGCAGUAGGGAAUCUUCCGCAAUGGGCGAAAGCCUGACGGAGCAACGCCGCGUGAGUGAUGAAGGGUUUCGGCUCGUAAAACUCUGUUAUUAGGGAAGAACAUAUGUGUAAGUAACUGUGCACAUCUUGACGGAC